AGCUUUGCGCAGUGGCAGUAUCGUAGCCAAUGAGGUUUAUACGAGGCGCGAUUAUUGCUAAUUGAAAACUUUUCCUAACAUCCCGCCGUGACGACUUGCGACAUAGUCGAGACUGGCAAUUUUUGCCAGUCUCUAUGGAGA
rnacentral:snRNA from 1 species